AGAGACAAACACAACACAUUGAUGUAUUUACUGGAUAUUUUAUUUAUAAUGAUAAAAAGAAAAUGAGCUUUAUAAAUAUAAAGUGAUAAAUACAUAUAUUACAAACAAAAGAGAGAUAUAUGGCUAAAAUUGUCAAUUUUAUUUAUAGUAUGAUUAUCUUUCUUUCCCUAUUUCUAGUUGAAACAAAUGCUCAAUGGAUUUAUCCUGCUUGUUUAAAGAUAUAUGUGUCGACAACUUAAGUGCCACCUGGUAGAACACCGAAGUGCGUGAUUAUCAGUGUGAUGUUCUCCUCAAGCGUUGGGAUCAUAUCAUCUACUCACAUGAUUCUUCAUUUGGUGCUAGACCCAAGAUUGUACACAAAUAAUCUUCUACAAUAUUCCACAUGCUAUAUAAUUUAGUUAUUUUAUCACCACCCAAUAAAUUAAUUUUAUUCUUUUUAUAAUUUCAAGAACUUUUUAGUUUUAUAUUGUACUCUAAAAUAAUGAUAAUGAAAUAAAAUAUGACAACAACAAAUAUUAUGUAGAUUAUUAUAAUAUCUUUAAUACAUAGGUUUACAAAAUAGAUAUUAACUUCUAAGCCUAAAAAUUUAUAUUAUUUGUCAUAAUACUAUUACAUUUGUGAUUUUUCUCAUACUUAAAUUUAUAUUUCUUUUAAAUAUAAAUUUUUUGAAUAGCCUUUUAGGCAUUGUUUGCUUUUAAGGGAUAUGAACAUAUAGAACAUCAUUACAAAAUUGUAAUGAUCUAAUAUUGAUAUGUUUGGGAGCAGAGGUUAAGGAUGACGCGGCUGUUGUGCUUGUGUUGCAGCAAACCAAUAUAGUGGUGGAUAAGGAACUUCGAUACGGUUGAGGCUUGUUAUGCGGUGGUUGACCGCAGUACUUGUAAAAUAAACACAUGCUUCGAAGCCACUUGAAGUAUCUUCUCGAGAAUAAGAAAUUGUUUAUCCUAUUAUUUUGAGAUAUGUCGUACCCCAAUUUUUUAUCUAA